UCUGGAGUCUUCGCUGCCUAUCCUGCUUUUCCUACGCCCUUAUCCAUUCGUUUUUACUCCGUCCCCCUCCUUCCAUAGCGAGCACCGCGACAGCGCGUGGAGCUAGGUGGCCCCUCGCGACGGAGCCCCGUGAGAUAGGCUAGGAGAAGCUCCAGCACGUGCGGCUCCGGUGGCGUCCGGUGAGCUCCAGCGACCGAGCCCUCAUGCCGGGCGGUGCGACGAGAGAGGCGUGCAGCGGGCUCUUCUACUUUGGGGCCCUCUAAACCCGAGCUAACACGUUGCGGCACACCAACGAUCUCCUCUCUCGCGCCAGGACACACAAACCAGGAACUGCUCGUCGGAGGAAUGUUGAAGCAGCCAAUUUGCUGAGCUCUGAUGGUUACCAAUGUUGAAAAUUGAUUAUGACGCUCCGUACUCUCUGACGGUGAUUAUAGCAUCCAAUACUAGUGCCCGGCGUCGGAUGUCCGGGCACCAGCAACGCCAAAAAAAAACUGAAAGGGGUAGGUAUGCCCUCGCACUUCUAGUAAGGAUUUCUUCCUAUUUUGCUUUCGGAAGAUGGCUAACCAUUUCUAGUUUAUCAAUGUUGAAAGUUAAGCUAUUCUCAAGUUGCACAGAAGAGAUGUAUAUAUACUAGGGUUUAGGGUUUUGCUUGGAACUUGCUUGAGUUUUUUCUCACUUUUAUCCAAAUGUAUAUGUACAUAUUUUAGACAAACACUUGUAAAAUUUGUUAAAUAAAGCUCUAUUUCUAAUGUUAGCCGGUGUUGGUACUUUGUCCUUUACAUUUUUAUGCAGGAUCCGACGAACGAUUUUGGUACUUAACGAUCAUUAACAAAAUCCCUGACAUUUAAUACGAUAUUUGCAGAUUAUUUUGCUUGUUCUCAAGUAAAUGUUACAACUAAGGUAGAAGACCACUUCCUUUUAAUACGAUACCUGCAUGGGCUUCACCUUUACUUGUGAAUCUUAAUGUGUCUACCAUAAUGGUUUCGGUAGUUCAAGAGUGGAACGGUAUUGACUUAAGUCUUUUCACUUCUCCAUUGUAUAACUAGGUGGUCGAUAGACUUUUAGAAAAACGAACCAUAUCUUUAUUCUCCAUAGGAUGUCUAAGGUUGCUUAGUGUGUAUCCUCACCAAGUUAUUGCCUCUUAUCAUCCUACUUCUAAAGAUAGCUUAUGUGGAGCUCAUGGUAGGAGAUUUGGAAGCAUGCAUUUGUUUUACAUAUAUUGCAAAAUUAAAGCUUGGAUCUAUGAAGAUGACACAUCAUACAAGCUGAUCAAGAUUGUACAUAUAUGUGAAGGGUGGAUGAACAAAAUAAAAGACUCAUUUGUAUGAAACUAUCUCUCUUUUAUUUAGAGAAUUUUGAGAACAUAACUAUCUCUUCUUUCUUUCUUUUUAUCAUGGCUCUUUAGAAUGCAUUUUUUCUAAUAAGUAUUUUUUUAUUUUUAGAUUGCUCAUGUCUCUUUUGCAGGAACAAUGGAGAGAGAUCAUCAAACACGGAGUUUUAUUUUUUGAAUGGAUGGAAUGGAAUAGCUAACUUCCAGUGUAGAAGUUUGCAUGUGUAAUAUACAUUAUCAUGGUCAAGCAAGUAUGAAAAUUAUCUCACUAGGGUGGCAACAUUUCAUAAAACUCAAUGUAGAAACAAGGCACAUAUGUAUAUGGUUUCUUUCAUGAAGGUCGACAUAUGGUUUUGGUAGGACAAAUAUAAGGAGUUUAUAAA